rnacentral:rRNA from 1 species
UAAAGUGGCGUACGGGUGAGUAACACGUGGAUCAUUUACCUCUUGGUGGGGAAUAACCCUGGGAAAACCGGGGCUAAUACCGCAUAAGCCUGCAAAGGGAAAGCAGCAAUGCGCCGAGAGAGGAGUCCGCGGCCGAUUAGCUUGUUGGUAGGGUAAUGGCCUACCAAGGCAAUGAUCGGUAGCCGGCCUGAGAGGGCACACGGCCACACUGGCACUGAAACACGGGCCAG